rnacentral:misc_RNA from 1 species
GGUAGACUGAUUUAAAUAUGGUGAUUUCAUCCCCAAAGGAUUACAAUGCUGAGCAAGCUACCCUGUUAUUCUUAAAGCAUGUAGUUAAGUUUUAGGGCCUACCUAAGACCAUCAUUAGUGACUGGGACUCCAAGAUUACUAGAUGAUUUUAGACAGAACUAUUCAAGCUAGUGGGGACAAAGUUGAACUUCUCUACUACAAUGCAUACCCAAACAGAUGGACAAACGGAGAGGAUUAAUGCACUACUUGAGAUGUAUUUGAGGCACUAUGUAAGUGCUAAUCAACGGGAUUAGGCUAAAUUGCUAGAUGUGGCCUAAUUUUCAUAUAAUCUGUUAUGAAGUGAGUUUACUUAUCGUAACUCAUUUGAG